rnacentral:rRNA from 1 species
AUACGGAGGGGGCUAGCGUUGUUGGGAUUUACUGGGCGUAAAGCGCGCGUAGGCGGGCUGGUUAGUUGGGGGUGAAAUCCCAGGGCUUAACCCUGGAACUGCCCUCAAUACUGCCAGUCUUGAGUUCGAGAGAGGUAAGUGGAAUUCCUAGUGUAGAGGUGAAAUUCGUAGAUAUUAGGAAGAACACCAGUGGCGAAGGCGGCUUACUGGCUCGAUACUGACGCUGAGGCGCGAAAGCGUGGGGAGCAAACAGGAUUAGAAACCCCUGUAGUCC